rnacentral:rRNA from 1 species
GACGAACGCUGGCGGCGUGCCUAAUACAUGCAAGUCGAACGCUGAAGGAGGAGCUUGCUUCUCUGGAUGAGUUGCGAACGGGUGAGUAACGCGUAGGUAACCUGCCUGGUAGCGGGGGAUAACUAUUGGAAACGAUAGCUAAUACCGCAUAAGAGUAGAUGUUGCAUGACAUUUGCUUAAAAGGUGCAAUUGCAUCACUACCAGAUGGACCUGCGUUGUAUUAGCUAGUUGGUGGGGUAACGGCUCACCAAGGCGACGAUACAUAGCCGACCUGAGAGGGUGAUCGGCCACACUGGGACUGAGACACGGCCCAGACUCCUACGGGAGGCAGCAGUAGGGAAUCUUCGGCAAUGGACGGAAGUCUGACCGAGCAACGCCGCGUGAGUGAAGAAGGGUUUCGGAUCGUAAAGCUCUGUUGUAAGAGAAGAACGAGUGUGAGAGUGGAAAGUUCACACUGUGACGGUAUCUUACCAGAAAGAGACGGCUAACUACGUG